rnacentral:rRNA from 1 species
ACGGGGUGCAGCAGGCGCGAAACCUCUGCAAUAGGCGAAAGCCUGACAGGGUUACUCUGAGUGAUUCCCGCUAAGGGGAUCUUUUGGCGCCUCUAAAAAUGGUGCAGAAUAAGGGGUGGGCAAGUCUGGUGUCAGCCGCCGCGGUAAUACCAGCACCCCGAGUGGUCGGGACGAUUAUUGGGCCUAAAGCAUCCGUAGCCGGUCAUGCAAGUCCUCCGUUAAAUCCACCUGCUCAACAGAUGGGCUGCGGAGGAUACUACAAGGCUAGGAGGCGGAAGAGGCAAGCGGUACUCAGUGGGUAGGGGUAAAAUCCUCUGAUCCAUUGAAGACCACCAGUGGCGAAGGCGGCUUGCCAAUACGCGCUCGACGGUGAGGGAUGAAAGCUGGGGGAGCAAACCGGAUUAGAUACCCGGGUAGUCCCAGCUGUAAACGAUGCAGACUCGGUGAUGGGCCGGCUUUAUGCCGGCUCAGUGCCGCAGGGAAGCCGUUAAGUCUGCCGCCUGGGGAGUACGGUCGCAAGACUGAAACUUAAAGGAAUUGGCGGGGGAGCAC